AAUGAACGCUGGCGGCAUGCCUUACACAUGCAAGUCGAACGGCAGCAUGACCUAGCUUGCUAGGUUGAUGGCGAGUGGCGAACGGGUGAGUAAUGCAUCGGAACGUGCCUUUUAGUGGGGGAUAACGUAGCGAAAGUUACGCUAAUACCGCAUAUUCUCUGAGGAGGAAAGCAGGGGACCUUCGGGCCUUGCGCUAGAAGAGCGGCCGAUGUCGGAUUAGCUAGUUGGUGAGGUAAAGGCUCACCAAGGCAACGAUCCGUAGCGGGCCUGAGAGGAUGAUCCGCCACACUGGGACUGAGACACGGCCCAGACUCCUACGGGAGGCAGCAGUGGGGAAUUUUGGACAAUGGGCGCAAGCCUGAUCCAGCCAUGCCGCGUGAGUGAAGAAGGCCUUCGGGUUGUAAAGCUCUUUCGGCUGGGAAGAAAUCGCACCCUCUAAUACAGGGUGUGGAUGACGGUACCAGCAUAAGAAGCACCGGCUAACUACGUG
rnacentral:rRNA from 1 species